rnacentral:misc_RNA from 1 species
GUUCUUGUUGAUUUCCAUCACUUGUAUAACAGACAACUAAAAAUCUCAUCUCUUUUGUAUGUGGUUGAUGAUGUGGCACUUUUUGAGUUGGUGGUGCACAUCUCUAUGUAUUAGUUUUACUUCACUGCCAAGGCUAGACCACUAGAUUUUCAAGCCAUGGGCACAGUUAUAAGUUGUUGCUGAUAACCACUGUCCCUGAUCAAAUUACCUUGGACCUUUACUCUAGCUAUCAGCUAUAAGCUAUUAUGAUUUUGCACAUAAUGUUGUGUUUGAAAUCAAUGGCUAGGAGUGGAACACUUUGAAAUCAAUGGCUAUUAUGAUUUUGUGGAUUUGCCAUCACUCAUAAAAUCUAUCUACAAUUCUUGAAGAGCUCCAAGAUAAUGUUUUGAUGAUAAAAGAAACUGUGCUAAAAAAAAAAAAAAAAAACUUGGGAGAAAUGGUGAGUUUUGCUCAACUGGGCAGGAGAUGGGUUUUGAGCAGAAGAAAGAAGCAGAGAGCCAGAAGUGAGGGGCCUGCAAACACAGCAUUCUUUAUUUGGUUUGGUUUUGUUCUGUUUUCCUCAUUGAGCUUUUCUCUCUCUUAAUUGUCUGUUGCUGUAAGCGACUUUUUUUUCACUGUAAGCGAC